CUGAAUAAAAGUCUUACUCCCAGCAUUAAGCCUCGGAUCAUGUCAGUUGCUCUAUUUCCUACUAUACUCUCUGGAUGAGAUGAGAGGCCUACCCACUGGGAACUGGAUCCAGGACUUGGGUCCAGGGUGGGCGGAGAAGGUGAGACCCCAGCCAAGCUGUGGCGACUAAGGGGCUACAGUGCUUAUGGUGUCUGGUGCAGUGCUUAUGGUACUCAGGGAUUACUAGGAAGCAUGAUUGGUGGAGGUACUCAGUCGGGGUACCAGGUGGUCUGCCACAUUCACAUGAAAGGAUCAUCGUACCCUUUCAUCUCAACAUUUUCCUACAAUGUGGGUAGUGUCGCUUAUGUGUCCUUUUUGGUCGGCUUCAGGGCUAAUACCUUCUCUCCUAUUUC